rnacentral:rRNA from 1 species
UACAGAGGUCUCAAGCGUUGUUCGGAUUCAUUGGGCGUAAAGGGUGCGUAGGCGGCGCGGUAAGUCGGGUGUGAAAUUUCGAGGCUUAACUUCGAAACUGCAUUCGAUACUGCCGUGCUUGAGGACUGGAGAGGAGACUGGAAUUUACGGUGUAGCGGUGAAAUGCGUAGAUAUCGUAAGGAAGACCAGUGGCGAAGGCGGGUCUCCUGGACAGUUCCUGACGCUGAGGCACGAAGGCCAGGGGAGCAAACGGG